rnacentral:rRNA from 1 species
UACGUAGGGUGCGAGCGUUGCCCGGAUUUAUUGGGCGUAAAGGGCGCGUAGGCGGCCACGCACGUCCGUUGUGAAAUCGCCCGGCUCAACUGGGCGGGGUCAGCGGAUACGGUGUGGCUCGAGCAAGCUAGGGGGCAAUGGAAUUCCCGGUGUAGUGGUGGAAUGCGUAGAUAUCGGGAGGAACACCAGUGGCGAAGGCGGUUGCCUGGAGCUUUGCUGACGCUGAGGCGCGAAAGCGUGGGGAGCAAUCCGG